rnacentral:lncRNA from 1 species
UAUGGUACAUCGUUGAAACAUACAACUACUUUGUUGAUAGGUUGCAAAUACUGCCAUUUAUAUGUAAGUAUCAAUUAAUAAGCCACAUGCAUAUUACUAUCAUAUGUUUUGUCGACAUAGGAUUUAGGGGUCACAACCUUUCAAUCCUCAGGGAUGGAGGUAGAGUUUGCUUACAUUUCAAUCUCUUCAGACCCUACUAAUAACUUUGCUAUUUAUGGGAUUUACUAGUAUUCCUUUAUCCUGUUGAUUAGUGUUUGUGGUGAGAAUUGAAACAUGUUUGAGGAACUAGAAGGGUAAGUAGUAGUUGGAUGAUGAGGAGCUGAUCCAAGAGCUAAUGGAUUCUUAUAUGGACCAGCAGAUAAUCGAACGUUUGAACUUUUAUAAACACCCCUAGUUAUUGGAUUUACUUUUUUUUUUUAUCGAUUUUCAUAUGUGUUGAUAUUUCUAUAUUCUUGAUAAUCUCGUUUUUUUAUUGAUUUUCUGUAAUUUAUGUUUAUUGAGAUAUAUUAAGUAUAGUGCAAGUAUGUGAUGAUGUGAAGAGUGACGCGGAGUUUGUAGAGGUGUGUUUUUUAGAGAGGUUUGUGAAUCUGAUGUAACGCUGAAAUAAAAGUUUGUGAGGGUUUGCACAUUAUGGGUGCUCAGUCGAUUAAAAAUGAAAGUUCAGUAUCAGUAGAAGAACAUUAAAUCCAUAAUCAAGAAAACGUACGAAUUAGUUUUUAUGACAAUCGUUCAUCUAAAACUAUAGUUGGCAUUUGUAAUUAGUUGACUUUAAACCAGGGUCGGCCCAUACAUGUUCAGACCCUAGGCACAGGCCUAGGGCCACCCGAGUUCUAGGGCCACAAAAUUUCCAAUUAGUUUUCUUUAUACUUGGACCAUAUUAGAAGUCUAGCCCAAAUUCUAUUAUCCCAAUACCCAUAAAGAAACUUAAACCGUUGAAACGUGAUCUCCCUAUAUGUGGCGCAAAACAGCAAACAAUAUUUCAUAUCCAGUCGACCAGUCCUCCAUGCCUGCAACGAUUCGAUGAAGAUUCUCGUUAAAUGCGGCGUCGGUUGAGUGACCUCAAUCUCAAUUGAAGAUUACACAGUAGGUAAGCACAAAACAUCAAUAUUGAAGAUUCUCGUUAGGGGUAAUGAUAAUCAUCGCAAAUCUGAAAUCCUCAAUCUCAAUUGAAGAUUAGAGUAGGUAAAAACUAUUGCUCAGCCUCUUGAUUUUUGUUUAUCAAUUUUGUUUAUCAAUCUUGAUUUUGCUUAGCCUUUUGAUAUUGCUCAGCCCAUCUAGGAGUAAAUUGCCAUUUUAGUCCCUGAGUUUUGUCCAAAUUUGCCAUUUUGAUCCAAAUAGUUUUUUUUUUGCAUCUGGGUCCCUGACUUUUACAUUUUGUUGCCAUUUUGAUCAUUUUGUUUAACUCCAUCCAAAAACCCAGUUUGUAACAGGGGUAUUUUGGGGAUUUCCUUAAAAAAUGUUUUCAGUUGCCAUUUUGAUCCAAUUCCAAAAAAUCAAAAAAAUUCCAAAAAAUUCAAAAAAUUCUAAAAAAUCAUAAAAAUUCUAAAAUAUUCAAAAAAAUAUAAAAAUAAAAAAAAAUCUAAAAAAUCAUAAAAAUUCUAA